AGCGAACGCUGGCGGCAGGCCUAACACAUGCAAGUCGAACGAAGUGGCGGACGGGUGAGUAACACGUGGGAACGUGCCUUUAGGUUCGGAAUAAAUCAGGGAAACUUGUGCUAAUACCGAAUGCCGUUAGAGCGGCCGGCGUCUGCUUAGCUAGUUGGUGAGGUAAAGGCGCACCAAGGCGAGGAUCAGUAGCUGGUCUGAGAGGAUGAACAGCCACAUUGGGACUGGGACACGGCCCAAACUCCUUCGGGAGGCAGCAGGGUGGAAUCGUGCGCAAUGGGCGAAGGCCUGACGCAGCCAUGCCGCGUGAAUGAUGAAGGUCUUAGGAUUGUAAAAUUCUUUCACCGGGGACGCGGUACCCGGAGAAGAAGCCCCGGCUAACUUCGUGCCAGCAGCCGCGGUAAUAC
rnacentral:rRNA from 1 species